CAACGCACAAAGGGCUGGCUGUGUGUCGAGUUUAGUCUCCCUGCAAAUGGUGGGCAGACUGUGACGUUCUGCUAACUUUUCCGUUUGCUGCCUUGAUUUCUGGGUAUAAGGUAACAGAGGGACAGCAAGCAGGGGACUGAGUUCGCGACACCUAUUGCGUAGUUCAUUCCCAGAAGAUGGGGGAGGGGAACCCCAGGGUAGCUUGGGAGACCGUUUUGUUGCUGUGGCUUUAUUGUGAUGUUAGUAAAUCGGCAGCUUCUGACGGGUUCGGCCAGGGAGCUGACUCUUAUCUUCUUGUAGGAGUCUCAGAGCUCCGGAUCUGCAGGCUUUGAAUCCUUGCUUGGAAGAAGAUUAGACAAUAUCCCCUUUUACCGCACAUCAGUAAUUAAUGAUAAAUUAUUUAAAUGACUGUUGAUUGCCUUUGGCUUUCACCUUGACUGUCAGCACCGUAAGCAGCGGAGUCUUUUAAAGGGUACCUGACAUGCUCCUACGGAGAGGCGGAGAGGAAGCCUUCAUUUACGGUGCGCUGAACGUGCACUGAGUACCCGCCGUGUGUUUGCCUCCGCACAGGGUGCUGAAUUUCAGUGCUCAUCUGAUCUCCUCCCUACCUGUCAGGAACUCACGGUCUCACGGAAGAGAAAGGUACAGCUGCGAAUUGCAACACGCAAUCCUGCAUCCCGUCCUUUGUCAAGAGGCGUCCUAAGCAGAAGAAAUAACGUGGGCAACGUGGCAACCUGCCCAAAAGGAGUGAUUGAAGAGAUCACAGAUGGUAGGAGGAGCAGUUGUGUGCUGCUAACCAUAGAGGUCUCCCCUGUCUACAGAAACCUAAUUGAACAGGUAAGAACAUGUUUGGAUAUGUGAGAGUGAGGUCGGAGGGGGCAGUGGGCUCUCUUUCCUCUUUGAAGCUCACAUGAUGUCCUCUGCGGAGUUGGGGAAGGUGGCAUGGAAAUACUAGUGUUUCUCAUCCACAGCUCUACUGACGUUUUGGCUGAAUAAUUCCAUGUUUGGGGGGCUUCCUGUCCCUUGUAGGAUGUUCAGUACCAUCCUUGGCCCGUACCUACUGGAUGCCCAUAGCAGACAUAUCCAUCGCCAUUUGUGACAACCAAAUUGGCUCCCAACACUGCCCAAUGUCCCCUGGGGGGCAAAAUUGCCCCAGACUGAGCACCACUGAAAUAGAUCUGAUGUUGAGAGAGCAUGAAAAAAAAAAUAUUAAGAGAAAUGAGAGAGGAAGAAAAAGAGCUCAUACAUGAGAGAGAAAAUGAGGAUGACAAUAAAUGAAUGGAAUCAGGUCUCA
rnacentral:lncRNA from 1 species